GUGGGGAGGGCUGACAGCACAUGCAAGUCGAGCGAUGAAACCCCUUCGGGGGUGGAUUAGCGGCGGACGGGUGAGUAACACGUGGGUAACCUGCCUCAAAGUGGGGGAUAGCCUUCCGAAAGGAAGAUUAAUACCGCAUAAAGCCAAGUUUCACAUGGAAUUUGGAUGAAAGGAGUAAUUCGCUUUGAGAUGGACCCGCGGCGCAUUAGUUAGUUGGUGGGGUAAUGGCCUACCAAGACAGCGAUGCGUAGCCGACCUGAGAGGGUGAUCGGCCACAUUGGAACUGAGAUACGGUCCAGACUCCUACGGGAGGCAGCAGUGGGGAAUAUUGCACAAUGGGCGAAAGCCUGAUGCAGCAACGCCGCGUGAGUGAUGAAGGUCUUCGGAUUGUAAAGCUCUGUCUUUUGGGACGAUAAUGACGGUACCAAAGGAGGAAGCCACGGCUAACUACGUGCCAGCAGCCGCGGUAAUACGUAGGUGGCGAGCGUUGUCCGGAUUUACUGGGCGUAAAGGGUGCGUAGGCGGAUGUUUAAGUGAGAUGUGAAAUACCCGGGCUUAACUUGGGUGCUGCAUUUCAAACUGGAUAUCUAGAGUGCAGGAGAGGAGAAUGGAAUUCCUAGUGUAGCGGUGAAAUGCGUAGAGAUUAGGAAGAACACCAGUGGCGAAGGCGAUUCUCUGGACUGUAACUGACGCUGAGGCACGAAAGCGUGGGUAGCAAACAGGAUUAGAUACCCUGGUAGUCCACGCCGUAAACGAUGAGUACUAGGUGUAGGAGGUAUCGACCCCUUCUGUGCCGCAGUAAACACAUUAAGUACUCCGCCUGGGAAGUACGAUCGCAAGAUUAAAACUCAAAGGAAUUGACGGGGGCCCGCACAAGCAGCGGAGCAUGUGGUUUAAUUCGAAGCAACGCGAAGAACCUUACCUGGACUUGACAUCCCCUGAAUAACCUAGAGAUAGGCGAAGCCCUUCGGGGCAGGGAGACAGGUGGUGCAUGGUUGU
rnacentral:rRNA from 1 species